rnacentral:misc_RNA from 1 species
GGAAAAGCUCACAAUACUCAACAACUACAAGGCAUCAUUUGCCAUCAACUCGACGAGUCCUAUAUAGUGCCCCUUCUAAAACUCUGUAGUGGCCUCCUGCCGUCAGCACCGCCACCGAUCACCUUCGCCGUCACUGAAUCCCGACCUUUCUGUUAUAUCUAUCUAUUUACCUCUCCAUUCUCGCUAUAAUGUAUAUAUCCCAUAUUGAUUUCUUUCUAGUUUUCCUUCUAUCUACAUGAACCAGCAAUGGGCAACCUCUGCACCUGUUUCGCACCCAAAACAGUGAAAAAAAAGAAAUCCACAAAGCGUUCACCCGGUAACCCACAGUCCAUUCCCAAUUCAAGCAACCGGUGGAAUCGGAUCCGGUCCACGCGCAAAGACAGCA